GCUCCCGUAGUUCAAUGGACAGAACGGAGGUUUCCUAAACCUUAAAUCCGGGUUCGACUCCCGGCAGGAGCA
rnacentral:tRNA from 1 species